rnacentral:rRNA from 1 species
UUACUGGGCGUAAAGCGUGCGUAGGUGGUUUAUUAAGUCAGAUGUGAAAGCCCUGGGCUCAACCUAGGAACUGCAUUUGAAACUGGAAAACUAGAGUAUAGGAGAGGAAAGUGGAAUUUCUGGUGUAGCGGUGAAAUGCGUAGAUAUCAGAAGGAACAUCAACGGCGAAGGCAGCUUUCUGGACUAAUACUGACACUGAGGUACGAAAGCGUGGGUAGCAAACAGGAUUAGAUACCCUGGUAGUCCAUGCCGUAAACGAUGAUAACUAGCCGUUGGGGGGGUUACCCUUUAGUGGCGAAGCUAACGCGUUAAGUUAUCCGCCUGGGGAGUACGGCCGCAAGGUUAAAACUCAAAGGAAUUGACGGGGACCCGCACAAGCGGUGGAGCAUGUGGUUUAAUUCGAUGCAACGCGAAGAACCUUACCUGGUCUUGACAUAUCGCAAACUUUCUAGAGAUAGAUUGGUGCCUUCGGGAAUGUGAAUACAGGUGCUGCAUGGCUGUCGUCAGCUCG